AAAUUGGUCAGUUCUGGUAAGCAAGGGAUUGACCCCAGGGCAAGACAGUCAUACAACAAGGGGAGAAAAUCUCCAAGGAUUCAAGAGGCAAGGAAACUUCACCCUGCCAGACCAGCAGGUCACGGAGCAGAUGCCUCAUUCCCUUUAUUACCUGGUGACCAACACGAGCCCCGGUUCAGCUUAAGGCAAGACCUACCCAGGGGAGCAAAACAAAACCAUGUUCUCAUCAGAGUAUGUUUGCAGUCGGACAAAAACAGGUAACGUGUUAUAAACAUCAGAUUGUCUCCAGCUGAAAUAUUCCUCACAGCUUGCAGUGGUGGGCUGGUUGUUAUUCUCUUAAUUUAAGCUGCCUCCCCAUUGCUCUUCAAACCAUUCUCAGUAUCUUUACCAUGGAAUUCCAAAGCACAAAGACAUGAAUUAAACAUGAAGCCCCUGUAAUCCUGAGGUGGGAACCAUGCUAUGGUGGGCUGACCCUGCUGGGCACCAGGUGCCCCCAAAGCUGCUCUGUCACUCCCUCCCUCAGCCAGGCAUGGAAGAAGAAACACAGGGUCAGAAUAAGGAAGGGGAGAUAGCACUCACCAAAAUGGGCACAACAGACUUGGGGAAAUUAAUUUAUUACCACUUCAACCAGUUAGGGUAAGGAGAAAUAAAAACCUCUUCCUUCCACCCCUCCCUUCUUCCCGGGCUCAACUUCACUCCUGACUUUCUCCACCUCCACAGCACAGGGAGAUGGACACAUCUGCCUGGGAAUCUCUGCUCUGGUGCCUGGAGCACCUUCUCCCCCUCCUCCUGCAGUGCCCUGGGGGUCUGUGCAGAGCUGUUCCUCUCACAUAUCCUCACUCCUCUCUCCAGCUGCAGUUGUGCAGGUUUUUCCCCCUUCUUAAAUCAGUUGUUCCAGAGGUGUGUCUGUCCUGGAGCCAGCUGGAAUUGGCUCCAUCAGACAUGGGGGAAGUUUCUGAGCAGCUCCUGCAUCUCCCCACUACCAAACCCUCGCCCUGCAAACCCUAUGCACAUCAAAGCUUCAGCUCAAGCCUGCAUUUACACCCCACUCCUUUCCUAGGUGCUGACAUCUGAAAGCACUGAGUGUCUUUCUGUGCAUUAGGAAGCUCUUGUCAGCCCAAACUCAGCAAAUGGAAGGAGGCUGAUUAUUUUAUGGCCUGCAAUUAUUUCUUCAGCUGACUUCUCAAGGUGGCACCUUGCUAAGGACAACAUCCCCACAUCACUUGGCAAAUUGAUGUGAUUACCUCACAGGAUUAAAAACAUGCUACUCCCCAGACAGAGACAAAAGCCUUCUGGAGACAGAGGUGUGGUUUCACUUCCUCUGAUUUACCAGAUACCUACCUGGCUCACAAGCUCCAACUGCUCCUGCAAAGAACUUCAGAAAUCUAGGGAAAUGCGUGUGUGUCUCUUGCCAUAAUCACAUUCCAAGCAGAGAGCUGGGCUGUUUCCCACCACAGCUCUGCUGCCUAACUCCUAUGGGACUCCUGCUGAUUUUAUAAUCUUCAAAUAAUGGCUUGCAGCUUUGACAAUCCAAUUUAGCUUUUGCUUGAUUUUCCCCCCACCUCACCUUGCAAACACUUCACUGGAAAAAAAUGUCCAUCCUUUUUGCUAAAAUGUUCAGCAUCCCCAUGCCAUUUGCUGUGCUGAGAGAACAGGGAAUGUGGCAGCCACCCAAGAAUACCCCAGCCCCAUAUCUGGCCCUCUGACCCAAGGAAAUUUAAUGCUUCAGCAAAGAGCUUUCUGCUCCCAGGCAAACAGCCCUUCCUCUUGAAAAUGCACCUCUGAUUCUUUCAAGCAAAUUGCCUCAAAAGAUGAGUACCAGCCACUUCUCUCUUUGCAUCCUGCAGCUUCCUGUUGUCACAGGUGAGGGAGGGCAGCUCUGCUCUAAGAGCUCUCACUUUCAGAAAAGAAAGGUCAGAAAAUGGAAAACAGAAUGGAUACCAGAAGAAAGGUUAAUUAUGGAAGUAUUAAAAAUAUCUUCUGUGAAAUAAGAAGCUUUAUGAGCAGUUUGUCUCCCAUCUCUAGCACAGCUCGUACCACGGCGCCAGUUAUACCUGUGCUCCCUGCGCCGUCCAGACACUGGCAGCUCUCAUCCCUUUCUCUUAAUCAAAGGAAAUAUUAACCCAAACAUCUCUCUGUGCACGUCCCUGUACCUGUCUCUGCAGGCAGGUGGUUUACAUCUGCCCUUUUGAGCGAGCUGCUGUGCCCCUAGAGAGGAGAGCCUUGAAAGGCAUUUGCCAGUAUUACCCUGCCUCAAAAGCCAAGGCCUCCAUGAACUCCCAACCUUUAUUUUUAGCAUUGUCCACGCUCAUUAAGGUCUGUUUCUUCCCCAAGACGUGACCCUGGCAACCCUCCAUGAACCAGAGAAGAAUCAAAGGACAAAGGACCCCAUACCUGUCUGUGUUAUGGUUUAUGUUAUGCUUGCAGACACUGUCACGUUCUAUUUUCAGAUGAAAAAUCAAGGAGAUACUUUAAGACACCUUUGCCAUCAAAAUUUCCCAGCCUGGUUUACAUUUCUACAGGCAAAUAAGUGAAUUAAAUAUAAACACUAAACAGACACGCUGAGUAUUCUUUUAUACAAUCAUCUGAUUUUCUGUUACACAGAAGUUUCAGGAAGCAGCUGAAACAUGGAUGUUUGAACAUGCUGCAGCCAUCAGUCAGUCAGACACACCUCUACUCCCAAAGCUGGAAGAAUCCCUUCCUCUGAGAGAAAAUAACCCCUCAGUUAAACUUAAAUGACACCCCACCAUCAAGUCUGGCAUCUUACCAAAGGCAAACCACCUUUCAAAUCCCUUGGAUGGGAUCUUCUGAACCCAACCACCACAGCAAACAGCACCUGAUUUAUGUACAGCUAAGAUGAUGCUCCUUUUACUCCAGGCUAACUCAGCCGUGUUACUCAGGCCUGAAGGUGAUGCAUUUCUGAGUGCCCCAAAGUGCUUUGCUAGUAGUUCCACAGGCAAGAUUCCAUGACUGUAGUAAUUAAGGCAGUAAAAUAUUAGGAAAAAGGCAUUACACGGUGAGCAAGAAUCUGAAUAUCCCAUACAAAUACCCUACAAACCAACAAAGAGCAAUUAGCUCUGGUAACUAAGUGAAUGAAAAACCUGCUAGAAUAGUCUGAAAGAAAAUGCUGGUAUUGGAAUAUCAUCAUUUGUGUGCAAGAGGAAGAAUUCCAGAUCAGGCCAUAAUAAAAUGAUGAGGCAACGGCAGAGGAAGAAGCUUCAUUAGGAGAACAAUGGGAUGAGCUCCAGGAAGCUCCCUAAUGGUGAAUGCAAGGCAGAAUACUUUUAUUGAAAAGUAAUUAUUUCAUGUUUAUUAUAAGGCAAAGCUGUGCAUAUGAGCAAUUACCCCAAUAAUCUGGUGAGCUGCAAGUUCACAACUCCUGCUAAUGCCGUGGCAACCGAUUCCUCUGGUCACACUCCUGGUCCCAUCACUGCAGCUGUUUUUGUCACGGAACCAGACAGAUUUCCCUGCCUCACCUCAGCACUAAUGGAACAUCUUUUAAGUGCAUUUCACAUUAAGACUUUAAAACCCACUGCUUUUUAAAAGGUGCCUAUGGUUAAAUUUUCAUUAUCAUUAAACAAAAUACAAACAGGCCUUCAGGAUUGCUACCCUAAUGAGAGCUGCUGCACUGGGACAAGCCAGAACCAGCUGUGCCCACCUUCUGCAUACAACCCUCAAUUUCAGCAGUUUCUCUGAAGGCUUGACAGAAAGAACCCUCCCAAAUGGACUCAGUUUAGCUGAUGAUCCCAUAUUCAGUCCAAUCUCCUCUUUUCUGAUGUUCCCUUCUAACAAAACACUUCCUAAGAAGCACCUUUCACUUGAUUUUGCACCAUUGUCCCAGAAAAACGACCUUUUUUUCUCCCCAGAAGGUUUGGCAUUGCUGCUGUAUCCAACAGCAGCUGCAGACACAGCCUGAACAAUUUUGCCUCAAAUAUCCCAAUUGACCAGUCAGGUUUAUACUGGAGCCACUGGGAGGAAGGAGAGAAUAUCAAUACUGGCUCAGUGAGAAAUCCCCUGUGUGGAAAAGGAAGUCUCCAGGGUUAGCCUGAAUUCAGGUUGGAAUUCAGCAAAAAAUUGGAAGUACUUUAGUCACCAGUUUCUAAAGGAAAAAAAUAUGUGCAUAUUAAUCUACCAAACUCCUACUGCAUGGACCACUUGUAAGAACAAGCCCCUUAUUAGAGAGGGAAUAUGGAAAAAAAAAGGUAAUUGAGCUGAUAUGGAUUUUUAAGCACUAAUAAGAAGUCUGAUUCAGAAAACUACACUUAAAAAUUAUUAAUACAAACACUGUAAGUCUGAAGAAAGGCAAUCCUGUGGAAUUCUGUACCUUUUAUGAAAGCAACAGCACUAUUAUUACAGCCUGCCUCCACCCCCCAUCAAAAGUCUCAAGUCACUGUUCAUUAAAAAAUGCUCAUUAACUCAGCUCUGCCCUGGCCAGGGGCUGGGCUACUCAUGCAUCUCCAGCAGAAGAGAAAUGCACCAAUUAAUCCUGCCCACAUCUGCAGAGGGGCUGAGCGAGGUCUGCACCAGCAGCCUCUUCCUAUCUUCCACAAAAUCAGAACAAACCCAACAGCUGAGCAUUACCACUGCCAGCCCGUGCCUGCCAGCUACUUUAUGUCCUAAAUUCUUUGAAAUGCAGCUCCCAAAGCUCUUCACUGAGCAGGACACAGCAAAGCUUUCAGCACAUGGAUCUGCAAAUCUCCAAGAAACAGCAUCAGGUACCGUCAGGUGAGGAAAACUGCCCAACAUACCAGCAUGCUGCCUUGUAAAGCUGUAAUUAGCAAAUACCUGAUUUAUGCACAGCUGCCCUCACAUGAACCUCAGCAUUUUGCUUUCAGAACUAAGCUCUGACAAAGAAAUCUCACGCAAUGCACAGACCCGGGCACAUCCUCACCCCACAGGCUGUCAGCAACGCUCACACUGGAAACAGGAAAGAGAAAGGAGGGGAUGCCCAGCCUGAUGCCAUCACCAGGCUUUGUGUGAGCUGGCAUGGACAACUCAACACAACACCAGCUGAACUGAACUGAAAUCCCUGGCAUGGGCUGGAUUUGGGAUCGAGGUGAGCACCACUGGCUGUCUCAGGAUUGGCAGCUGGGCCCAGCAGCCCCUCCUGCUUGGGUUUAUUCCUUCUAAUUAGUCCAGAGCUGGAGAUGAACUGAACUUGGCACAUCAGGACUUCUCACCAGCAGAUCUGGCUCCAUGGGGGCGACUUGUGUGGGCAGCAGCACCUGCAAAGCUCCAGCCCCUCCAAGAAUGAAUGCUGUGCUACUGGGGGAACUGGAAUGGAGAGGGUUUAGCACUGUACCAGGGUCAGCCACACUGUCAUCCAAACCAGUCAGCUGCAAACUGGAGAGUGAUCUCACCAGUAGGCUGUGGCACCCAGCCACGGAGGGCUGUGAACCAUGAAAACUUCAGUUUUUAAAUUGCAUUUUGAACAGAUUCUGUACGCUGGCAAAUGCAGCACAACAAGCUCUGUCUUGAAAAAAUAUAUAUAAAAAAAAGAUAAAGCAUAUCUCUAGAGAAAAACAAUCAUUAGAUAGGAAUAAAUAAAUAAAUACCCCUCUUUGAAGUGAUUUUAAUCUAAUCUGGCUGCGGGAUAUAAUCUUAACAGCACACGUACUGCAGGAUGCUCCACAAAAUAGCAGGUUUAGACAUGUGAAGGGAUUUUUUUUCUCCUAAGAUUUAUUAAUAAUUAAAUCAAAGCAUGUUAAGCUUAAGAGGGAUUUGCAGUGCUUGGGAUUUGGGGGUAAUUGGCACAUCUUCACAAUGACUAUUACCUUCAGCCUUACUUGCACAUCAGGAUGGUUUUUGGUCCAGGCAGCACAGUGUCCCCUGUCACCACAAGGCUCACCAGGAUGGAAGAAUCCCUGCCCAGGGACACCCCUGCAGAGCUAGGAAUCAGUUCCAGUAGAACUUACUACAAUAUUGCCUUUCUUGACUUAAAAAUUUAUCAUUUUCUGAAAUAUAUUCAACAUUUAGUAUUUAUUGCCUCUGUGCUUCUCAGACCAGGUGGUACUUUUACAACCUAGAGUAAAAUCUAGAUGUAAAGCAACUACUAGGAAAUUUCUAACACAGUUUUAUCAUCACAUAAAUGGACCACAUAUACAGUUAUUGCCAAGUUUUUAGAGACACCAGCCUCUGAAGCUCCUGAGAAGCCUUACAGGGUGAGAACACGAAGGAAACAACUCCCCACAAACCACCCCUGGCCACUGAAACAUGGGAAACUGAGCUGGUUUAGAGGAAAGCAAGCUGGUAAAGUCUAAAGUUAGGUUCCUGAAAGUAAACACACAUGUUUGAAAUUCCACGAUUAACUGUGGGCUUGUUCACAAAGCCCCAGGCCAGGAGGAAGCGGGGAGCAUCCACCCACACACUAAAGAAAAAACUCCAAACUAUUCCAAGUUUCCAGCACCCUGGGGUCCCCAAAGCCUCCGUGUGAGGGUUGUUAAAGGCUCGUGGCUGCUCGGCUUUGCUCCUGCCCUGCUCUUCAGCCACAAGGCAGUUCCAUGAAGUUCCAUACCCACCCUGAAGUUGCAGAGCCGCGGGCGGGAUUUACGGCAGCCCCCCGAGCGCACGCAGCACAUGCCAAGUUCAGAGCACAUCAAUGCUGCAGGCAACAACAAAAACUAACCCGGGCUGUGAAGUUUCUUUCCUACAAAUGUCUGCAAGAGCUUGCCAGGAAACGUAAUUGAAUCCGGGCCAAUUUUCAUGCUCCGAGGGAAACUCAGUGUCUCAUUUACCCCCCGGCAGGCUGCUCAACACCAAGGAGAAUAAUUCCUUUUUCCUCUCCCAAAGUAACCUAAAAUGUAGGGGUUUCAAAGACUUGUUCAUGUCAACGGCAGACAUUGAACCCUCCUUCCAACCUCAGCAUUCAAUACAACUCCUUCCAGGCAGCCAUGCUUUGCUUGACAGUGUCUAGACCCAUCCUGCAGGCUUCCUGCCUUUUUCCAGCUCUAAAAGUGCCCUUUAUUUUUGGGCACUUACCAGAAUGGCUCUUUCCCAGGACUGCUGAAGAGCCAGAGAUAAAUCUUAGCGUUUCCUGGAAGAAAAUUACCAAACUAGCACCGUAUUCAUCACCGGCUGGUAUCACAUCCUCUUAAUGCUUUAUAAAUGGAAAACUGCGAAACAGUGGGCAGAGGAGUCGCCCUCUGAAAUGGCAAUAAAUCACAAUAGCAUCGAGUGGACUUGGGGAUAAAUAACUAGGAAACUGAACAAUAGAAAGUCGCCUUUUGUAGCACAGGGAAUGCACUGUCAGCACCUGCCAGCACAGGACCUUUGGCUUUCUGCAUUCAGGUGGACCUUUUGUGGAGCCCUUGCAACAGUUUCGAUCAAAAUCAAUUUUUGCUUCUUGCCAUUUAAUUAACUAUGAUUUUGCUUGUAAACCACGUCACCUUUCAGGCUGACCUCCAUUUAUAAUGUUACUCAGGCAACAAAAUGAGUUCGGUGGGGAAGGCAGGGAGAAUUUAAAUGCUGCCAUAGCACAGCUCUGCCGCUCUCUCCGAGCUGGGAUGGCAACGCCCAACAGGGAAGAAAAGCAAACAGCUUUGGGAUAACAGCACUUAAAUGGAAUAUUGCUCAUAUCACACUCCUCAUGCCCAAGGGCUACUACUGAAGGCUUCUAGGUGAGCAAUUUGAACAGGAUGCAGUGCACUAAAAAAAGCCAAGGAGGCGGCUCUCAGCUUCAGGUAUUGCCACGUGUGACACCAGCUCCAUCAAAUUCACUCCUCGGAUAAAGCAGCAGCCAGCUCAAGGUUAUGAUCUUUGAGUUUAAAAAGCCUUUUUUUAGGUCCGUCCCAAGAGAUUAUUUUAAAACACAGUACUACGCAUCUGCCAAGGAGUAGAACAGUUGGCUUUAAUUGUAAGAUGGAUUUUUACAUAGCUUCUGACCUUUCAUCUAAUUGAGGCCUGAAGAAGAAAAAAAAGAGGAAAAGCUAUACGUCACUUCAGUUAUUAAAAUCCAUCAAGCUCAGACUUUAGCCUUGGGAUAACCACAGCCAAAAAAUUGACUUGCAAGUAAUUAUCACUGCUAUCUGCAAUAAAAGUUAAUUGGACAUAAUUGAACUAAAGCCCUAAUCUGAAUGAAGCUGUUGCUGGCAAGAAGCCUGCUCCUGCCUGCACUCUGCAAAUGGAACUGCUAGCAGGAAAAUGGACAAACACGAGGCUGCUUUACAGUCUGCCCACUGCAAAUCAGAGCAGUUCUGCAAACAGCUCGUUAGCUGGGCCAAGAUAAAGCCAUUAUGAGGGCCUGUCCUCACCAAACACACCCUUCAACUACACCCAAACAGGGCGAUGGUGCAGAGUUUCAAAAAACAAGUUGCAAUUUUAUAGACCUUUUAAUUACAGGCACCGAAACACAAGAUUCACGUCACCAGACGCUGUUUUUAUCAGCUCCCCAACGCUGUCAAUACCAGUACAAAUAAUGUACUUUUUGAGCACGUAAAGAUACCGACUCAAAAGGUUUUCAGUGCUGAUAAUUUACCACCUUCAUGCAGUUCAAUAGCCUUUCCUGUUGUAGGACCAGCUUCUUUCAUCUCUGCAGCAGAGCAGACAAUUAGCUGCUUUCUGUGCUCAGCCCAUGCAGGUGGCUGGGGGAAGGGAGCAUUCUACUCAAUUCCUGCUGAUUCGUCCAUUUAUAUUUUGCAUUUUUGUUAACUAACAGACCAGAAAGCGGUUGUCAAACCCCAUGCUACUCCAGAACUCCUUUACAAUUUUAAUUAUUAACACUCUGUCCUUCACCAAAGCAUAUCAAAGCACUUAACAAACAUUACUGAAGCCACAUAACCACUCUGACACAGGCAAAAAUUGCACAUGACUCCUUUUACAGUUGGCUUCAGGUUUUUUUGGCCAUAUUUAUGUUAGAACAGUGGUCUCCUGAUGAUGGACUAGUCUAUGACAGGAGAGAUGGAGGGAAGUAUUUGGCUCACCACAGGUUCCUGACAUAAUUUUGGAUGAAGCAUUUAAUCACCUGAUGCCAGGUCACUCUUUGUUUGAAGGACAGCAGUGGGUGACAGUUUUCUACCACUGAAGACUGUGAAGACAAAUGAAACUGCAAAGUAUUUAACACCACCUUGACUUCUCACAUCAGGCUUACAAGGUCACAGUCUGGGCAGUCUCCUGAGGACAAAUGGACACAGAUCACCUUUCCCUGUCCUGAGCACCACUUGCUCACCUCACCCCUGCUCCUCUCCAUCUUCACAGCUUAGAACAGAACUUCACAGAUGAAGAAAGCUGCAACGAAGAACCAGUGACAUCGAUUCCCUUUCAUGACCCAAAUCAGUGGCUUACUUUACUUUGCUCAAAGCCCUCACCUCUUUUUAAGAGUAUUUUUAGAUUUAACUCUGUAUUCUGCAACGUGGCAGGAGCUGACAGACAACAGAGGAGUAAAGUAGGUCUUGUCAGGUGUUGCAGGCCACUCCUAAGGUGAAGGAAAGAUGUAGAAAAGACAAGUCAGGACAAUUGUAGGGCCUGGCCAAAGCUUCAAAUGAGGAUUUCUGGCUGUGCUUGAAACACAAAUACUAGUGGUCAGUUGUGAGACAGAUGAGAUACUACUUUUACCAUGGGAACAUAUGCAAGAAAUAGGAAAAUCGACCUGCCUGAAGUCAAAAGCAAUUUGAAUAACUUUGUAUCUGCCUCCUCUCAAUUUUCACUACACUAAAGCACUCUGACCUUUAAUUAACUUUCUCCUUUUAUAUGGUAACUGCCAACUUCAAUUUUUUCAUGCUGUGCUGGUGGGAAACGGGGAUGAAGACACAGCCUGGUAUGUAUCUUAUGGGUGCAUAUGGCUCCAUGGAUAUUUGGGGAGGGAGCAAAGAUGCUACAGCUGAACCACAGCAGCUAAGAGCACAGGCCAGCAUUGUCAUCAAAAUAACUUGCCCUGGAUAUCAGGCUUGCAUUUUUAUUUUCAAAAUGCAAAACAGACUCCCUACCCACCACCGUAACAUUCACAAAAGAUCUCAUUUUCCUCCACAAGAUACUGUCAGGCACAAACAAAUAUUCCUUCCUCCAAAGCACCCAUUAUCCUCGGGGCAAACUAAACCCAACUUCUUCCUACAUGCUUGAGCAGCAUCUCCAACAUCACAGCAGCUCUGAAAUACAGAACAAGACUUACAGACACGAGCGUGCCUGUUCUCAUGUGCACACGAGGGAAAAUUAAGGUUGGCUGAGAUGACUUCCAUCCAAAGGAAACCCAGAACAGCCCAGCCUCUACCAAACUGCAGGAUGCUGCUCGCACAUACCCCAGUGGAGGUACCAUGCAUUCCCACCAACAGACAUUCUCCAUCCUUUAUGCAACUUCCUUCUGCCUUCAAGUGAUAAGAAACCAAAAUACACACUGACCCCUUUCCCAUAGGGGACAGCCUGCAGUUAUAACCUCAACAUCCUCAGCAGGAACAGGGUUAUGUGCAGCUUUCCUACGUGUGCCAAGUGUGGAAGAAGCAUGAGGCUAUAAUUCUGGGCUUUCCUUCACCACACAGGACACACAAGAAAUGUGAGCUUCCUCAUGCCACUCUUGGGCAGAAUUCCUCCCUCUUGGCUUUCUUGCUUUCCCAGACCUGAAAAGGAAGUUUUUCUUAGGUACAGCAAACAGCUGCCUAGGCAAAGGGGAAAGGAAACAUGAAACAGUUCCCUCUCCUGUGGCUGCUUCACAAAGAUCACCAUUUUCAUUAUCUCUUCUCACUCCACACUUACUCUGUAAAAGCCCUGACUUAAAGACUUAAUCAUGACUUACAGAAAUCCUGGUGGCUGCACAUGACAGAAGGAAGACAGUUUUUCCUUCUAAGAUAGUGUUAGAAGUUACAGAUUACGACAGUUCCUGGGUAGGAAAGCAGCUAUCUUUCCCUGUUUAUUCCAAGCUGAUUAUUUAAAAAAAAAAAAAAAACAGAGCUAACUUUGAACAAAUUUUACCUCUAUUCAACAGACAAACAACAGAGCAGACAUUUGUUAGCUAUUGAAAAAUAUGUUUUGAGUCCUGUUUUAAAAAUAGAUCCACUUGAAAAUGAGAAAUAUUUGCAAAUAAGAUGAGGCAGAAUGCAUUAUACUUCAUAACAAAAGAAAAACUGAACCUGUAUGUAAAUGAAUAAAAAUAGGAAAUGACUCACUUUUGGGCCAGGUGUGCUGGUGGUGUGUGAACAUGGGCUCACAGGGAGGAUGGAUUUGGGUUUGCAUUGCUCAUGCACGUGAACCAUUCUGACCUGUACAACCACACUGACAGAUUGGUUUAGUAUUUCUCUCUCUGGACACUGAAUUAUAUUCCCACACGUGGUGAAAUUUUAACAGCCCAUUUACAAAACCAGCAGUGAAAAAUACAUUUUUAAGAUCCAAAACUGGAGAUCUCUGUCUGAUUCUGCACAGCGACAGAGCUUCCAGCUGGACCACAAACACAUCAGCUCUUGGAUACACAUCUUAUCAUUUGUAAGGGCAAGAUAAGACCUCCUUCUGUAGUUGGAGAUACCGUGCUGCCAGCUGCAAAGAUGAAAAGCAUUUUAAGAACCUCAAACAGAAGCUGCAAUACAUGUAAAAAACAGAAAAUAGAAGCCAUCAGGUGAAUACCAAAGAGCUGGACCAGACACUCGGGGUGGUGUUUUCCUGUCAAGCUUCACAACGAGGUGCUGGUGUCCUGCUGGCUUGUCCUGACACAGACCUAAUGUCCUUAUCAAUCUCCCAGGAAACUCAAAGGCCACCUCGUAACAACUCCACAGAAGAAAGGACUAGAAAUAAAUUAGUGGUGAGCUACUGUAACAAGUCUCUGCUAUUCUCACUGCUUUCCUGAGAAGCAUGAAAAACGGCCACUUGCACAGCUGGCAGUUCAAAACAGCCACAGGGAAAGCAACAUGAACAUGCAAGGUGCCUUCAAAACCUUCAAGCACCAGAGGUUUUUGUCUGAAGACCUGAUAAAACAUUUCAGCACAAUCUCACCUGACUCCUUCAGCAGCUGCCAACACACCACCUUUACCUGAAGUUUAUAUUCAUGAAAUGUUUCUUUUUUCACAGAAAGUUUUACAGACUAUAGGAUGUUUUUGUUUGCUUUUGUGCAUCUUUCCUCCUCUGCACUUGCCUUCUCCUUUUAAAAAAAAAACCCAACACACAGAGAGCAAUAAAUAAAUUGUACAGACAGGACACAGAAGGAGCUGAAACUGUACCACAGGCAGAGAGAUCCCUUUGCAUGGCAAACACAACGUGGCUGUGCAGGAGAAGAGAACAAACACUGCUGCUGCAGCCUGCACCUCAACAGCAGACAGAGCACAAAGCUGCCUGCACAAAGGUGAGCUCCUGGUAACCCAUCUCCAACAGCCCUGACCUCCACUGUGCAGCUCCCACUAAAAGUAUCCCCAGGAUUUAAUUUCCAAUUUGUCUUUCCAGCCACGGAAUUGCUUCAGUCAACAAAUUCAAAAAGGUAAAUUUUUCUACCUCCAAUUAACUGCAUUAGCAGUGUUUAUAACUACGUGAUUGAUAAAUGCUCUACAGAAGCUGUAAUUAAUGUAUUUUUUCCUUGGAACACACACCAAACCCCUUGGCGCUCAGACACUUAAUGAAAAGCAAUUUAUCAACUUGCUUUGAACAGCUGAAUCUGACUCCUUAAUGCAGAGAAGUAACACACUUUGCUUGAAGCACCACCACUCAGAGAAAGGAGCGAGCGCCGCGACAUUCCGCGCGCCGUCGGACACCGCUGGGAUCUCGAUGGGGAUGACAGCGACCAGAGCACUCAUCUCCCUGGCUAUGAUUCAGUCUGGCUUAACUGGGAUCCUUUCCUCCUGGGAUGCAGCGGAGCGGGAGAUUCGUGCAGAUGUGCUUUUGCAGGAUGGGGGAUCAGGAGUGCCUCUUGAGGACAAAGUUCCAAAUUCUCCCAUGCCCGGCACGCGCGCGCCGGGAAGCAGCAGCAGCAGCAGCUCUGAGUAUUUCAGCCUGGACAUGUGUUCAGCUGCUCACAAAGCAGACAAAAAUAAAGUGCUUACAGAAUGUUUGAAUGCUAAUUUCUCAAAUUGAGCAUUGCUUUGUAUAGUUGACAUAUGAAAAAAAAAAAAAGAAAAAAGAGAGGAAAAAGAAGCAUUUAGGAGGAAAAGUUUGACAUUACAGAAUAUUUUAUGUCGGUAUUAACCACUGGAGGGGAUUAACCAGCCUUCAAAGCCUAAACUCACAUUUCUGAGAGUAUAGGCUAGAGAUUUCCAGUACAGGAACUGGUCUGUACUCCAUGUGGCAGGCUGAACGUAAGGAUUACAUAUUUCCAUUGCACACGUAAGUCUGUUUCCCAUUCCUGCAGGGUCCUGCUCUCUUCCAUUUGUCUUUUGAUGCAGAUAAAAGCUAAUGCAGAUUGCAACUGCUGAUACAGAGAAAGGCACAAGACACAGCGAGCCUUUGGACUGAGGAAAAAAGGGACUCAGGUCCAGACUGCUCGAGCACGUCAAGAGAUUGUCUUUGAAACUAUAAAACUAGAAAUGAAAGCACUGCGUUUUUAUUUGAUUUGAUCAAAGAGACUAGAAAGGAGGGGGGAAAAAAAUCACAUCUUCUAGAUGCAGGGUAGCAUUUAACUACUUCACACACGAUACGGGACCAGCUGAUCUCAUACAGAUAUGAAUUUGGAGAAAAAACAAAGAGGUAAAGUCACUCCAGCUCUGCAGACACUGCCUGCACAGAUCACUGCUCCAGGCUCUGCAAAGAGCAACAGGAACCUGUUUCAAAGCCAGAAAGCCACUGGAAGCACAUACCCAGCCCUCGCCAUGGGCACAGGCUUCCAGUCUCCAGUGAAAGCAGAGGAGUGAGCUCCUGUCAAAUCACAGGAAAUAGACUCUGAAUGUAACAGCUACUCGAAUAAAUCACUGAUGACUCCCCGUUCCAGUGCUCUGACUGUGGGACAGCAGCACACCGUGGCAAUCUUCCCAAGGAGGGCUUUGGACUGCAAGCUGCAAAGGGACAAGACCAAAAUUCUUGAAGGGAGCAUCUGCUCCAGCGUGUGCUUGGCACCAGGAGAACGAGGCUCUGCAGAAGUACAAAUGGCACUACAGGUAGCAGCUCUGCAAAUCCCAAACUGCAGCGUGGAAAAAUCAAGUACCUACGGCUGCCACAUUCCCUAAGAGAACAGAUUUUAAGUAUCUGCUCAUGGAAAUUUCUAACUGCAGAAGGGGAAGCAUUUAGAUUGCCUCUGGGCUGAAACCAUCUAGGUCUUUGCCUUUCACUAAAAAUUAAGCAGAAGUCAUUUUAACGAGGCAGGCAGACAACAGUCUUGCACAGGAGAUCAAAAAGCUCUCCAGAUGUUUAUUUUAAAUGAAAUUCAGAAGCCAGUAUAAACCAGAUUUUAAACACUGAAUAAUCCUUACCACAAUUUGCAUGAGAAAAACAGGCAAAAGGUUCCAUCCUACUGCUCUGAAACUCUCCAGGAACAUGCAGGCUUGGAUUUUGCUCCUAGACUCUUCAGAUAAGAAUCUGAAAUAUGAACAACUCCACACUGCAAUCUGAUGGCUGUUAAAAUGUUUUUCCCCUGUGCUGUACACUUGGAUGCUCAACACAUACACACAGGGGCAUCACAUGUGAAGGAAGUCUCUGACCUUCCUCAUCAAGACUGUGCAAAAUUAUGGAUUGAAAAGUGUCUAAAAAUGUCAGUCCUAAAUCUUAAACUUCUUCUCCUCUUGCUACUUUCACUGAAUGCCUCCUGAUUGUGCAAAAGCAGAAUUUUCAGGCGUCAAUCUAAGUAGUUUGGGUGUUACGCUGACAAUGUCUCUGCAGAGGGGAAGAGAAGAGAGGACAGAUUUCCAAUAGCUCAGACACUUCCCUGGAAGCAAAGCUGCUACACAGAAAGGAGAUAAAUAAAGAGGGAAAGUAACACGCCAGAGAACUUUCACCAAGGUCAUGUCAGGAUGCUGAACGCUCCCCAUCUGCAGGGGAAGACUGAGAUGCCUGUUCACCACACAUAUCCACUCCCCUGCUGGCAACAACAGCCCUCAUUAAACCAAACCGGUUCUAACCACGAGAGAAAGGACAUUGGGAAGAUGAUAUUAGCUAACAAAUGCAAAAGGAAAACCCAACAGAGGCAGUUCUGGAUGGGUGCCUUCUGCAGCAAAAUACGGCCCCCAUGGCAGGUGCAGAGAGCCCCUGCACGACCUGGGAACAGGCAACACAGGCAAAAGGAUGGACAGCCAUGCUCUGAUCCUGGCUAACAGCUCCUGGCUUGCAGCAGAGAGGAGAUUCCGUACCCAUUCACUCAGAGCAGAACAGGGAUCCCAUCAGGAACAGGAGCUUUUAGGACUUUGCUGCUGCACAGGGUGACCUACAGGUUGCAGUUCCUCCUUGCUCUGCCAUCAGGGCUGUGGACAUGUGGCAGAACCCUGCAGACAGACCCUACCAAGAAACAACAGCCCUACCCCCUAAACAUUGUAUCAGUUACUGCUGUGCCCUUAAUAAGAGUGUUUCUUGCUCGUUUCAGCAAUCUGAAAGACACGCUGGGCAAAAUUUCAAGCUAUGACAAAGUGAUCUUAUCACUUCUGUGCUGUUCUCGCUACACAAGCCCCUGAUUCAGCAGCACGUAAUAAAAUCUUCAUUUGCAUGAAAAGCACUCUCUGAUCACAAAGUCUUCUGUUCGACAGCCCUCUUCCCAUCCACAGCGUAAAGAUGCAAGCACCACUGUCAUUUUGCCUGUGACUGAGGUGGAAUAUUUUAUUUAUGUUUUAUUUGGAGAGGCUCUCAAUGCUUUAAUGCCAUCUUUUCCUAAAAAAACAACCCCGUAUUUUUGAAUAACACAAAAGCUGCACACAUCCCAACUAUGCAAGCAUACUGCAAAGUUCACUCAGUGCACUCACACCUGUAUUUUGAAUAACUGUGUCAUGCGAAGGACAUUUCCUAUCAGCACAAGGUGACCAUGAACAGUUGCAAAAUGCCUUUUUUAUUCAACAAGUCCAGCCAUUUCCAGUUUGCCUUUAGAGUGCUUGGUGUCACGACACACAGCACUCAGAGGAUGUAUUUCAAAGGAAAGGAAGGUGUAGCCAUGCAAAGAACAAUGCACUGCCUGCAACAAGAUUAAUCGCUGUCAUGAGAAACCAAUAAAACCAGUAUCUUGUUAUCUUUCUUUACAAAGGGACUGUUAAAGCUUAACUAUAUUAGGAAACUUUUUCCUUUGGACUAAACCAUGAGCCUAAUGUAUGUGGGCAUCCCACAUGCCAGCAUAUGCGAUUAAUUGGCUCGCGCCUGACGCCGCAGGAGAAAGUCCAACGUUCCAGAGGCAGCGUGGAGCUUUCACACAACCGGCCUGUGCCCUCUCCUGAACACAGCUCUGUCACCAAGGCCAGCCCCAGCUCCCUGUCCCGUGCCAGGUGGCACCACCUCCCAUUCCCACCUGUUAACCGUGUCCCACGUAUGCACCCCAACAUCGCACCCGGCUCCGAGCGAACUCAGCCAAAGCAGAAAUACCUUUCAUCACGUCAGCAGUGCGGUCCCCAUUUAGAAACGCUUUCUUUCACGUUAAUCCAGUGCCAAAACGUGGUGGUGUGGGCUGUGCUGAUCCAGAAACGGUGCUAAGGAUGCUGCUGCCUCCUGUCUAUCACCGCACGCCUCAUCUCGCGCAUGGCCAGGCAGUGACGGCCCUGCGACAACAGGCACUUUAAAUUGGGCAGCUCAGCAGCACAUGUACACUGAAUUUUUGAACAAGCUAUUCUAAGCUGCUUUGCUAGCAAUUUCUGGCCUGUGCAGUUUGAAAGCGCACGGUUCUGGCCCUCACAAAGAGCAGACCUGUAAAUGACAUCUUGAGGAUUAAGCUGAUUGAGAUGCAAUUUGCCUAGCAACCAUUCAUUAAGCAGAGUUCAGAAACAGGCCAGCAAUCUAUUCCACCUCCUUAUCUGAGCAGUAAACAGAUAACAGUCUCUACUGUGUCCUCUGUGCUCCAGUUCAGACACAUUGUAAACAGAUUUUUCAGAAGUUUAAACUCCUACGGUAAAUCUCCGAGAACAAUCCUGCUCUCCAAACACGAGGGAUUCAGCUUUACCAAGUGUCUUACAAGCGAGAAACGGCUCUGGAAGGAGGGUAAUGCAAAUCAAAUUGUGAAUGCAUUUGCAGUUCCUGUGCCUCCAAUAUUUUCUCACAUCAAGCACUAAGAGCCCAUCGCAGCCAUUAAAAAAAAUGUUGAAAAAAAUCUUAAUCACACAAGCAUUUGGCAUUGCUAUUCUGAUCACUGAAAAAAACUCAAUAAAAAUCUUAUUCCCUUCCUUCAUCUUCUGCAAGGAAUCGAUUGACACUUCCAAAGUCUUUGAUAAAGGCUCCCCUGCUGCAGAGAAGAAAACAAAAGUCACGUCCUCCCUCCCAUUAAGCAUUUUUUCCUCAUAAAAUAAGCAAGACAACGCAAACGUCAUCAGUGGAAAUCAAACCAGCUAUUUCAGCCCGAAAAUUUCAGCUGAAAAGAUGAAGCGAAAUCAUGAUUUUGCAUAAUUGUUUCCAUGCAAGAAACAUCUGAUAAUAUCCCAUUCUGCUCCAAAAUUAAACAACAAAGAUUAGCACGGACGUAUUUAAGACUAUAUACCUGGAUGGUUUGCCUUUGGUGUACAGUUCUUCUGGGAAAUCACUGUGACAUACAGCAUGCUAUUACAAUUAAAUAUGCAAGAAAGAAGAAUUAAACUGACUAUGAAUAAUUAAUACCCUACAAUACUACUUCAUAAGGGAAAGUCUGGCUGAAUAUUCCCGCAGAUAAGAUAUACCCAAACACAAGGCACAGCAGAGCUGGCAGCUUUACUUUUAUGAUGGGGUUUAAAACACCAAGUAACUUUAUGGCUGCUACUCAAUUCUAGAGAAGGUGCCAGCCAUCCAAGCCUUUUCCUGCUGGAUUCCCAUCCAGCUUCUGAAAAAUGGGAUAAAUGCAACUGUUGCAGUAGUUGCAGCACCGCUCAUCUACUUCCCAGAGGUAACAGGCUUCCCAAACACUUUCCAUUAAAAGGUAUAAAGCAAUUAUCUGGCAUCCCAGCAGGGACAAUAAAGCAAAUAUGAUGCAACAAUUACUUGGGUGAUAAGAUCAGGCUAAGGUUGUGAGAAAAAACAAUUAAAAAGGGUUGCAAGAGCUAAGGAAUGCAGCUUACUUUCCCAGAAUCUCUCUUAAGGACAAAGAUACCAUCAGCUCCAAGAGCCGACCUUCCUGUUUCGAGUUUACUGUUCUGGAGGCUGCAGAACAUCAACUGUAGCAAAGCUGAAAAGGGCAAUUAAAAAUAUGCUUUUUUUUUUUUUUUUUUUCACAACAUCACCCCUAAAUUGCACAGAUUAGCAUUUACUGAAGUCCUUGUAAAAUUGAUAUCCAACUGUUGGCAUUUUCCACCAGGCUCCAGUCGGGUCAGCGCAGCGCUAAUUGACACAAAUACAUUUGUUGCACAUUUUUAGCUGGAGAUGCCCAGUUCCUCUCAGAUUAUCCAUGCAUGGCACACCCAACACCCCUUCUAGGGAGAGAGAUUUGAAAUCCAACCAACAUUUGUGAUCACUGAGGUGGAACAUGGCACUGCUACCGUAAUUGCUGAAGGUGACAGCGUCCCUCUGCUCCUAGCCCCAAAUUGUUCCAGGAGGGUCUCGUUCCUGCAGGAUCCAACACUCCAAAGCAAACAUGAGCUGAGGGUCUUUCUGAGCACAGGCAAAGCCAUGUUCGAAGUAUUCUGGCUUAAUAUUAAUUUUCUAUUAAAAAUUAAUAGGAUUAAAUGAAGCUUGCAAGCCUAUGGGCACCAAGGCAGUUCUUUUGCUGACGCACUCGUUGCCCAGAGGAGCAGGAUGUGAGGGAUGGGCAGCAGAGCUCCUGCAGGAUCCAUGUGGCUCCUGGAGGGAACAGGGGACUCUUCCCCACGCCCCCAGAGGGACCCUGGGUUCCAUCAGUGCUGUGUCACUCCGUCCUCCUGUCCAGAAACUGGUGGGGAAGAUGAAACGCUGAUGAGAUCCUGGUGAAAACCUUGGUGUCUUCCCACCUGAGAUCCAGCCUUCUCUGGACACUGCCUCCAAAUCUCACCCAUGUGCCCCUUUCCCACUUCCCAGAAUGAAUUCCCCUGCCAACAAGAACCCUGCAAAUAUCCAGAGUUGACGUAAGCUUAACCUUCAGUCCCUAUUAAUGUUAACGGAAUAGGAAAAAAUUAACCAUGGUGCAAGUAAAAAGACUGUAUCUGCAUUUCUAAUUAUACAACAAAACACACCACGUGGCAAUAUUUCCAAGCACCUUGCUGGGAAUAAAAUAGCCAGUGGAUUGAGGCUUCCAUUUGGAGUGGUGGAUGCAAGAGCAACCAGCACUGAGGCUGUCAGAGUUAAGGGAUGAGGACAAGAAUUAAGGGAAAUGAAGUGACAUAUGUGAACGAUGAUAACAAAAAUGUUAAUAAUUAGAAAAAUAGUCACCUUAAAAAUUUAAAAUUUCGUGAUCUCUCCUACUUUUUAAUGGCUUAGCCUACUUUUUCCAACCUAAUUUGCAUGAUCAAAAUAGGCCUCCUGCCAGGAAGCAUUAAAAUGGCAGCCCCCCAUCGAGACAAAACUCCCUUCACCAUACGAGACUGAAGGACUAAUAACUAUUCCUAAAAACAUUUUAAAUCCAUUAACGUUGUUUAGCAAACACUUAUUUAGAAUUAGUGCCGCUAUCAGAAUUUGAUUGUGCUCUACUAAAGUGUUUUAUAAAAGCCUUUGAGGGAGGAGCAGGUCCCUCCCAAACACCUGUGCCAUCUCCAACCCUCUCCAAAAAGCUGAGCACCCUCACACUCCGACAUGCUUUCCAUUCCAAAACCCCAAAGCAUUCUCCAAGACCAACCAGACAAUUCCCAACAGCUCUGCAGAGCGCCAGGAAGAAUCCUCCAGAUGCACAGAGCAGCCAGACUAGAGUACACCAUCCCCACCAACCUCUACACUCAGCAAAUAAUUAAUAUACACCAAAAAAAAACCAGGUCACAGAAAUAUAAACCUCAAUAUUACUGAUGUACAGAAGAUUUGGAUUCCAGUAGAAAUAGAUGGUGGUUUAUAUAAAUUUGUCCGAGCUACGUGUUAUCCUUUCAGUGCCAUCUGCACAAAACCAGAGUUUUAUCUAAGCACUGGAUACUAAAAUAAAUCAUUUUCUCUGUAUCUAUGAUCUUGCUGGAGACAGACGCCACAAACCUGAGAGCUGGCUAGUGCAGGCUUGUCUAGUCACAAAUAAAAUUACAUCCACAUCAAUAUGAUUUAUUUUUAAUAAAAAAAAAAAAAAAGGCAAACCAGGCUCUUCAUAUUGAAACAGGCUCCGCCAGCACCCUCCAUGCCCACAGAAGAUACCACAUACAGUGUGAAAUUGUCAGAAUAAAACUGGGAUUUGCACUGUCAUUUCUCCUGGUAUGAAACACCACUACCAAGAGACACAUUUUAAUUGCCACACGUAAUGAAAAGUACCUGCUCAUUCUCCACUUGCUGUAUUUAUUGCUGUUUAAAUUCAGGACUACAAGUCUUGGCAGGAUAUUUUCUGGUGACUUGAAUUUUUUAGUAUGUCCAUGCACAGCAGAUUUUGAAGAGUGAAUUUGGCUCCCCAAUACAACACUUGUGACCCAUCUCUGUCCGUGCAUGAAUGAGGUUCUUGGGCUGCACUUCUCAAAGCAUCUCGUCCUGAGUGUCCCCUGUGAGCAGGGACCUCGCAGUAAUUAGCACAAUCUGAUACUGGAAACUCAACUAAUUCUAACAUUGAUCCCUCAGGACAGCCCAGCCCAUGAUUUGAGAAAGGUUUGUCCCAAAAGACCCUUUGUUUCUACCUUUCAAAGUCACCAAAGGCUGGUAAAUAAAUUAUAUUCUCCAAAAGCUUUGCAAAUUCCUCUCCCCUGGCUGGAUACAUUCUCCAACCAGCAGCCACAGCUAAAGGUUUAUACAGGAUCACUGAAAGCACCAAACCUGUUUUAUUUUCUAAUACACAGCAACUUCUAACAUCUGCAGUCACUGCUGUGAGAUUGCAAAGGAUUUUAUUUGCCAAGUCAAGCUGUUGAAAGGACAGAUUAUAAAAAAUAAACACUAACCAUUUUUAGAUCUAACUUUCCCCCACAGACUGCAUUUUAUGCCCUUUCAUUGGAAAUGUUACAUCAGAAUAAAAUCAGAUUUAAUUGGCUCUUAAAUAACUGAACAGCCACUUUAAUUUUAUUUCAAUAGCAAUAAUUCAUAAAUCAAGCAGCUGAAAUCCUAGCACGGAGUGACAAGUAAAUAGAGCAGAACACAGGGAAGGAGAGCACGAACACCACACGGUGAAAGGUGAUUUUUCUCAAACUUCACACAUCACCAUUUUAUGGACAUCACAAAGGUACCACCACAUAAACACUCUAAUCUCAAACCUGUCAGUUCAUCAGCAGUAACUGCUUAACAAAGACCUGAUGAUGAUCCUUGCCCAAGUGGAACUGCUAGCAGAAUGGCUGGGAUUUUAGCCAUGGAUGCAAUUUCCCUCAUGCACACUAGAUGGAAGUAUGGAAAAAUCUUAAUUCUUUCCAGUCUCAAAUUCAAGUGGUUGAGAUGUUAUGUUGGACUGUCACAUUCUGAGAAGAAUUUUUUCUUUUGUUCUUCAUCAGCAACUUCACUCAUUGAUAAGCCCUAAGUAAAAAGAUGCCCUGAAAUACUAAACUAAGCAGUGUUGGAAAUUAAUAGUAAACAUAAGAGAAUAUACAGCAGAAGUACUAAAUAUAUUAUUCAGACUAAGUUUUAAAGUACACACAUUCAAUUUCUAGAGUAUUUGAAUAAUAAUCACUAAUGAGAUCCUUCAGAGACACUGAAGUUACAUUUUUUAAACCUCCAGGUUAUUGUAGGAAAUACUACUUUGUCAAUGAAUAGAAACAGGGAAUAGAAAAGGUAUAAAAGGAUUCAUAAAUGCUGCUGCAGUUUUGACUGGAAAAAAACCCCAACAGAUUUGUAGAACAUAGUGGGAGAGGCACAGGGAAAUGGAGAACCUGAAGUCUUGCAGAACAAGCAGAUCAGAGAGCAGCAAACCUGAAUGGGAUUAAAUUACACACAAAUCUCCUGGAAACGAUCUUAAAAGCGACUUGUUCCAAAACAAUCCAUUUCUAAAUUUAAACACUAAAGAGUUCACAGACACAAAAACUAAAUCAGGCAAUGGUGUGACCAGGAAAAGGUGCUGGAAGAGCUGUUUUCCCUCCCCUACUCUGGCUUUUUCAUAUAUUGAUUUUCCUCCACGCUCAUUCACAAACGCUCAGCAGAGCUGUGAACAAUUUAAAGUCAAGGGAUGCACGAAUUACCAGCUCCAGGAACACACCUACCAUUCCAGGCAAAAGCUGAGGGCUUUGCUGUAGCUGAAGAAAACAAAAACCAGCCCAGAAUCAGAACACACUGAUGAGCUGGAAGUGAAGGGCAAGCAAAUCCCUAAUUUUCCCUGUCCACAACAAAGCCAAAGCACAUGACAUUCCUCCAGCUUAGAAGACAGCAAAUGAAGAAAACCAGUGCCAGAACAGAAGGAUGAAAAAAGAACAAUGCUGGAUAAAAGAAUAUAAAGCAGGCAUGAAGGGCUCCCCUUUCCAGAUGUUAAGAAGACAAGCUGUUUUUCAUUCCAGGUUUAAAAUAAGAUAAGCAGAGGAGGAAGUUUACUCGGAGAGUGGGAGCAUCUGCAUAAUUUUUUGAAAAAGGUUCAUACAAAGAUUUCCUUCCAACAGAAUUUAAACUAGAUCUAUACAUAUAUACAUAGAUAUUUGUGGUAUUGGUUCAGGACAGUCACCUUACAGUAUUUUUCCAAGUGUAUUCAAGCAGCAACUCUCUACAGAGAGGAACAAAAUGAGUGGCAAGGGACAGGCACAGGAAAGGGCAGGACUGUGAGACACACAUCCUCCAACAUGCACACUCCAAGUUUAACAACGUGAAGGCAAGGAGAGGGACAGCAGGAUACAGCAAAGGAUAUGCUGGGGCCAGGAAAUGAGAAAAUAAUCCACAGCGCUCAACAAUGACUUAUGGGAUAUUUUACCAACAAAAACAUGCAAGAGGUUUUUGGUUUUUUGGGGGUUUUUUUUUGCAUGUCUGGCUCCCACCUCAGGCUGGCCAGGGAGAUUGUCCCAGUAUGAGGAGGGAAAUUACAGAGAAACUGGAUGCUAGAUCACUCUGAAGAGCAGAGCACAGCGUUUCACCUAUUUCCAUUGCUCUUGUGUGGUUCCCAAAUUAGAAACAAUCAGAAUCCUGCUGGAAACAAUAUAUGGCACCUUAAUUGGGUUGGCUGCACUACAGACGUCAGCAAUGUAUCACUUAGUAGAUCAUUUUCUGACUGCUUUUUUUUCCCUUUAAAACUAAAAACAGCUGCACUUUCAUGGUUCACCUUUUCUACAUCACCUUUACUACAGACACGGUAAGAAAUUAAAUGUUAGCACUCGUUGCCCACCAGAGAUCCUACAGGACCCACACCUGCUGCAGGCAGGAUCUGCCACCCAGUUCAGCAGAAUUGUACUUAAAGGUUUGUCUCUGCUUUUACAGAGAACCUGUUUUCUAAAACAUUUCCCCCUAGUACACCCAUCAAUGCAUCCACUUAAAAGCCUGGAACAGUUCGGUUAUCUCUAAAUAAAUCAACAACCCAGUGCUCCACACAUUCCAGGCACUCCAGAAUCCCUGCACGGGACUUGGGAACUCACAUGAGAAAUCUUUCCCAGUUUUCAUCCCCGAGUGUUACACCCCCAUUAUCCCCCAUCAAAUCCACACUGCAGCCAAACUGCAUUCCUGAGAAAUUAUUCCAAGAAUGAAAUAUCACCAUUUUCCUCACAAACCCUGGAAACUUGGACUAAUCUUCACACACAGCAAAAACAAGUUAAGCAAUGGGAAUACAUAAAUGAAGAAUAAUUCUGAAGCACAUUGGGGGAAUAAUUAUAGCAAACGCAGAACAAAUACAAAAUGAGUGGGGAGGUGUGGAGAGACACCCAGACAGAAUGUGCUGAAAUAAGGAAAAGGGACCUACAGGAUCUGUGAGGUUGGAUCAGCCACAAGCUACAGCUGCUGGCUUUUUAAGUGUUCAUUUAAAUCAAAUUACUAAAAACACAGGAACCAGCAGUAGAUGAACACAGAGGUCUCUGUCAGCUCCUGGUGUAGGCCAAGCUAUGGAAGUAAAAUCAGCUUUUGAAAGAUUACAACCCCUUGGAAAAAUAUCUUUGGGUAAAGUUCAGAACAACUUUUCUGGAUGUCAGCCAGCAGAAUGCCUGUUCAGGAGCUCUGUUCCUCAAGCAGUAUUUGGAAAGCAUUUUAUUUUUUGAAAGUAGAAAGAUUAAUAAUGUGACAAACUCAUUUUAGCAUUCACAGUCAAAGUAACGAUCUGCAAUUAAAAUAAAAAAAUUGCUCCAAGAUCUGUGUGGUAAAGAUUUCAACACGAGUCACAAAAUACAAUGGGAAAAUGGGAAUGUGGCAUACCACACAAGGAAUAAAAGAUUCAAUUACUCACUUCACUUCCUAGUUUGAGAACGUUUUAAAUUGUUUAAA